rnacentral:rRNA from 1 species
UACGGAGGGGGCAAGCGUUAUUCGGAAUUAUUGGGCGUAAAGGGCGCGUAGGCGGCCAGCACAAGUCAGUUGUGAAAUCUCCGAGCUUAACUCGGAAAGGUCAACUGAUACUGUGCGGCUAGAGUGCGGAAGGGGCAACUGGAAUUCUUGGUGUAGCGGUGAAAUGCGUAGAUAUCAAGAGGAACACCUGCGGCGAAGGCGGGUUGCUGGGCCGACACUGACGCUGAGGCGCGAAAGCCAGGGGAGCGAACGGG